AAUCUAGAAAAUCCCAGUUGUAUGCUCCUGAGUUUAAAGGGCUAAGUUUGAUUUGUUCUCCCAGAACAAAUGGGCUCUAUUUACCUGAAUUGCACACAGGCAGCCUCAUAAAACUGGACUUCCAGUUAAAACAGAUAUAACCCCUGGGCCAUCUCGAUUAUGUUCUGGAGCACGACGUUCUUUCUUCUGUAGGAUGAAGUGUAACAGGCCUUCAGUAAAGGUUGAAGACAAGGACU
rnacentral:lncRNA from 1 species